rnacentral:tRNA from 1 species
GCCGAGGUGUUGGAAUUGGUAGACAAGCUAGAUUCAGGAUCUAGUGGGCGUAUGCCCGUAAGGGUUCGAGUCCCUUUCUCGGCA